AUGAACGCUGGCGGCGUGCCUAAUACAUGCAAGUCGAGCGAACAGACGAGGAGCUUGCUCCUCUGACGUUAGCGGCGGACGGGUGAGUAACACGUGGAUAACCUACCUAUAGGACUGGGAUAACUUUGGGAAACCGGAGCUAAUACCGGAUAAUAUAUUGAACCGCAUGGUUCAAUAGUGAAAGACGGUUUUGCUGUCACUUAUAGAUGGAUCCGCGCCGCAUUAGCUAGUUGGUAAGGUAACGGCUUACCAAGGCGACGAUGCGUAGCCGACCUGAGAGGGUGAUCGGCCACACUGGAACUGAGACACGGUCCAGACUCCUACGGGAGGCAGCAGUAGGGAAUCUUCCGCAAUGGGCGAAAGCCUGACGGAGCAACGCCGCGUGAGUGAUGAAGGUCUUCGGAUCGUAAAACUCUGUUAUUAGGGAAGAACAAAUGUGUAAGUAACUAUGCACGUCUUGACGGUACCUAAUCAGAAAGCCACGGCUAACUACGUG
rnacentral:rRNA from 1 species